rnacentral:snoRNA from 1 species
GUCUUGCAAUUUCCCAUUAUAGAUGCAAGAAAAAGAAGGUCCUCAAGCUUUCUGUCUGUCUUGUGGCAGCCAAGAUUAAAUGGGGAAAUUUUAA